UACGGAGGAUGCGAGCGUUAUCCGGAUUUAUUGGGUUUAAAGGGUGCGUAGGCGGUUUUUUAAGUUAGUGGUUAAACGUCGGGGCUUCACCUUGAUUUGCCAUUAAUACUGUAAGACUCGAGUUCAGACGAGGUAGGCGGAAUAAGUUAAGUAGCGGUGAAAUGCUUAGAUAUAACUUAGAACUCCGAUAGCGAAGGCAGCUUACCAGACUGCGACUGACGCUGAAGCACGAGAGCGUGGGUAGCGAACAGG
rnacentral:rRNA from 1 species